GAGAGUAUAGCUCAGUGGUAGAGUACGUGCUUUGCAUGUACGAGGUCGUGGGUUCAAUCUCCAGUACUGCCA
rnacentral:tRNA from 1 species